rnacentral:rRNA from 1 species
AUUGAACGCUGGCGGAAUGCUUUACACAUGCAAGUCGAGCGGCAGCGCGGGGCAACCCGGCGGCGAGCGGCGAACGGGUGAGUAACACAUCGGAACGUACCCUGUCGUGGGGGAUAACACAUCGAAAGAUGUGCUAAUACCGCAUACGACCUGAGGGUGAAAGGGGGGGAUCGCAAGACCUCUCGCGAUAGGAGCGGCCGAUGUCGGAUUAGCUAGUUGGUGAGGUAAAGGCUCACCAAGGCGACGAUCCGUAGCUGGUCUGAGAGGAUGAUCGGCCACACUGGGACUGAGACACGGCCCAGACUCCUACGGGAGGCAGCAGUGGGGAAUUUUGGACAAUGGGGGCAACCCUGAUCCAGCCAUUCCGCGUGAGUGAAGAAGGCCUUCGGGUUGUAAAACUCUUUCGGUCGGGAGGAAGGUUGGUAGUUUAAGAGAUAACCAAUUUGACUGUACCGACAGAAUAAGCACCGGCAAACUCUGUGCCAGCCGCCGCGUAA